AUAUCAUCCGUAUGCAUCGAAAUAUUGUGGCUUGUUAUCAUCCAAACAUUGUGUGAAGUCGUUGUUGUAUAUAUCGACUUUUUACUGGAUAACUGAAAGAUAAUAUCAAUAUGACAGUAACAAAUUCCGCUAUUUACAUCGAGGCACAAGUAGUAAUGGACUAUAUCACUCCUGGCCUUGAUGAAAAAUCCACAUCAGCGACAGCAAAACAGAAAAACCCAGCUGACUACCAGGAGGCACAAGUAGUAGUGAAUGUUCUCUCAUCUGAUUUUGAUAAAAAAUCAACAACAACAACAAAA